AAGAACCGUUUUCUGCCAUUACUGUGGAAUGAGCCGUGAAAUGGGCAUUCGGCUUCACCUGCCCUCCAGGUUGAAGGUUUAGGGAGCAGAAGAAAAUGUUCCUGAGCAGCAAAUGGAACUGAGAGAUGAAUGAAAGGUGAGCAAACAGGAACGGGUUUUGGUCGUUAAGGAAAAGUUUGGAAAGUGGCCUCCACUUCAACCAGCCAAUCCGGACGUUUCGUAACCUCCUGCACGCUAACUGCAUUAAGGGCGUCAUCUCAGGACUGCAGGCUCUUUUGUACCUGGCAUCCUCGCUGCAGCAGCUCCUCACCUUUCAUAUCACGCAACUAUAAACAGGUAUAUCCGCCCCGGCGAGCCGCAGUGGAGCUGAGGAGUCAACGUGGAGAAAUGAUUAACCUCCUUGGACGGUUCCUGUGAAAGGCCGCCGCUCUGUUAUCUCCCUAUAGAUGGAACUUUAUUGACGUAAUGCAGAAAGUUUAACUUCCACAGUAAAAAUCAAAGAGGAGAACGCUGCAUUUCCACAGUCAGGAUGGAGAUUAUUCAUUAACUUCACUUGUUAAAAUCAGUUUAACUUAAUAAAAAAGCAGACCCGUUAGUGAGGUCCAGA